AUGGACCGCGAGAGGGCGAUGGCUGCUGUCGUCUACUUCGUGUGCGCCUUCCCGGUCUGCGUCUUCCCCGCCUUCUACGCCAUGGGCUCCUCCAUCUGCUACGCGCUCUGCGGCAAGCUGCGGCGGUGCGUGGCGGAGGAUGACACCGCCGUCUGGUUCUGGCCGACGGUGUGCUGCGCCGCACUCCAGGCGACCUUUGGGGCGCUGGCGCUGCUGCUCCCGUCCCGCAGCUGGCGGGUCAGCCGUGCCAGCGCCUACCUCACCGUCGCUGUCAUCCUCGUGGGCCGCUGUAUGUAUGCCAGCGUCAUGCCUCAAGGAGUGCCCCAUGACCUCAAGAUCCUCAUAGCCUCGGGCACCUUCGGCCUCACGGUGGCCGACCUCCAUAGCUUCUUCUUCCCGGCCCGGGGAGGUCAGGAGUAG
rnacentral:rRNA from 1 species